rnacentral:rRNA from 1 species
UACGUAGGGUGCAGGCGUUAAUCGGAAUUACUGGGCGUAAAGCGUGCGCAGGCGGCUUCCUAAGUCAGAUGUGAAAUCCCCGGGCUCAACCUGGGAACUGCGUUUGAAACUGGGAGGCUAGAGUGCGGCAGAGGGGGGUGGAAUUCCACGUGUAGCAGUGAAAUGCGUAGAUAUGUGGAGGAACACCGAUGGCGAAGGCAGCCCCCUGGGCCAGCACUGACGCUCAUGCACGAAAGCGUGGGGAGCGAACAGG